AACGAACGCUGGCGGCAGGCUUAACACAUGCAAGUCGAACGGGUGUAGCAAUACAUCAGUGGCAGACGGGUGAGUAACACGUGGGAACCUUCCUAGGGGUACGGAACAACUCAGGGAAACUUGAGCUAAUACCGUAUACGUCCGUGAGGAGAAAGAUUUAUCGCCCUUAGACGGGCCCGCGUCGGAUUAGGUAGUUGGUGGGGUAACGGCCUACCAAGCCUACGAUCCGUAGCUGAUCUUAGAGGAUGAUCAGCCACACUGGGACUGAGACACGGCCCAGACUCCUACGGGAGGCAGCAGUGGGGAAUCUUGGACAAUGGGCGCAAGCCUGAUCCAGCCAUGCCGCGUGAGUGAAGAAGGCCUUAGGGUUGUAAAGCUCUUUUACCAGGGACGAUAAUGACGGUACCUGGAGAAUAAGCCCCGGCAAACUUCGUGCCAGCCGCCGCUGUAAUAC
rnacentral:rRNA from 1 species